CGGCGGGGCCCGGCGGGGCGGCGCGGUACAGCGGUUUGCUGUAGGGCCGUGGCGGUGAGCUUGGGCUGGGAGCAUCGCGCCCACGCUGGGGGAUGGAGAGCCCGGGGCGAGGGACGGGGAGAGCCCCGGCCAAGGGAGGAGAAACUGGCGGAGCACCGCGGGAGCGUGACCAGGCUGGGCUGGCUCCGGCCCCGCGCUGAGGGGAGAACAGAAAAUAAACUGCAGAAAGAGCGA